rnacentral:rRNA from 1 species
UAAUCGCGCAUCAGCCAUGGCGCGGUGAAUACGUUCCCGGGCCUUGUACACACCGCCCGUCAAGCCAUGGGAGCCGGGGGUGCCUGAAGUUCGUGACCGCAAGGAGCGACCUAGGGCAAAACUGGUGACUGGGGCUAAGUCGUAACAAGGUAAC